rnacentral:tRNA from 2 species
GGCGAGGUAGCUCAGCGGUAGAGCAGGGAGCCCAAAAGGCUCCCCAGUCGCGUGGUUCGAAUCCCGCCCUCGCCA